GUCAAAGUUUAUGUUUAUGUUCGCCGUCCGUGGCGAACCGUUCGGCGAACCGUUCGGGACAUCACUACUCCCCAACGACAAGGCGAUGACGCAUUCGUAUGUCAUCCAUAUCAACUUUCAAUGUCAUUUACUGCGCCUACCAUGGUGACCACGGGUAAUGGGGAAUCAGGAUUUGAUUCCGGAGAGGGAGCCUGAGAAACGACUACCAGGCACGCAAAUGACCCACUCCCGACGCGGUAAGGUAGUGACGAC